rnacentral:misc_RNA from 1 species
UGGCUCUCGCAUCGAUGAAGAACGCAGCGAAAUGCGAUACGUAAUGUGAAUUGCAGAAUUCAGUGAAUCAUCGAAUCUUUGAACGCAUAUUGCGCUCUUUGGUAUUCCGAAGAGCAUGCUUGUUUGAGUAUCAGUAAACACCUCAAAGCUUUUGGAUUUUUUAAUCGAAAAGCUUUGGACUUGAGCAAUCCCAACACCAAUCUUUUUGAGAUCGGUGGCGGGUUGCUUGAAAUGCAGGUGCAGCUGGACAUUCUCCUGAGCUAAAAGCAUAUUCAUUUAGUCCCGUCAAACGGAUUAUUACUUUUGCUGCAGCUAACAUAAAGGGAGUUUGACCGUAUUGGCUGACUGAUGCAGGAUUUCACAAGGGUCGGCAACGAUUCUUGUUAAACUCGAUCUCAAAUCAAGUAAGACUACCCGCUGA